rnacentral:ribozyme from 14 species
UUUCUUUUUUCUCUUUUCUUUUUCUCUUUUCCUUUCCCUUUUUUGUUUUGUUUUGAUUAUGAAUAAUAACA